rnacentral:lncRNA from 1 species
GAGGGCGUGCGGCGCGCGCGGGCGCGUGCGGGCGCAGGAGGGCGCGCGGGCAUGCGGGCGCGUGCGGGUCGCGAAGCGGGUCAAAACCGGGUUUUCGGGUCUGUGACCUUCUUUUCUUCAUUUUUUUUCAAUUCUCUCACCCGGUUGAACCAAUUACAGCCUAGCUUCAACUCUAAUGACUUUUUUUAUUUUUUUAAAAAAUUACAAACACUUUGCAACAAUAAAAAUAAGCCAUUAACAAGGCUAAUUACAAUAAUUAGAACAAAAACACUUAAUCUAGAGCCAAAAUCAUAAUAUAUCCAUUUUAGUUCAAACCAAAAUUUAUCUAAUAAAUAUGAACCCACCACAUGCAAUUGGGUAAAAAUGAAGCAUGCUCUGAUACCACAUGAUAGAACUAAGUCAUGCACAGCGGAAAAAGAAUCGAAUUUCUACCCUAAUUGCCACAAUUAACAUGUAACCAUAAACUAAUCAAAUUAGGGUUUUAAGAAGUAUUACCUUUGAAGCUUUCAAAAGGUUUGAUGUCUUCUUACCAAUUCUACCCGAGACCACCACUAGUACUCAACUGCUAUCCUCUAGACAAAGAACCGGGUUGUGGGACCCAAUUUUGGUGUAGAAAGUAAUGGAGAUAAAAUGAGAUUGGAAGCUUUCUUUUUUCUUUUGUUGAGAUUAUGAAAAUGAUAAAAGAGGCAAAAGUCCUUCAACAUUUGAAAACAUCUCUAUUUAUAGCCUAAUUACAUGCAAAAAUGCAUGCAAUUCAAUUGCCAAAUCUCAACACCUAAUAUUCCACUAACAAUUAGUGGAACUUAGUGGGCUAGGUGUCUAUAUCUCAUAUAGCCACAUAUCCCACUAAGAGUUAGUGGGAUUAUCCAACAAAAUGUUGGAUUUUCCCACUAACUUAGUCCAAGGGUAAAAUGGUCAUUAGAUUUUUCUAGUCAAAAGUCAAACUUUGACUUUUCUAAGUCAAAAGUCAAUAUUUUGACUUUUUACCAUUUUGUCCGUCUUGACUAAUUCCAACCUCCCGAGCAUGAAUCCGCAUUCAUUUUUCCAAAAUUCAAAUCACAUUUGAAUAUAAGGCCGGUCAAAGUUUGACUUUUCAAAGUCAAAAGUCAACAUUUUGACUUUUUACUAUUUUUGACCAAUUCCGAGCUUCUUAGUAUGAAUCCGCAUUCAUACUUAUAGUAUGUAAAACAUAAAGCUCUAUUUCUAAUUAGAAGACCGACGAUUAUAUCACUGUAUAUGUCGGUUUUCCUUUCUUCUCCCUAUUCGAACAAUUCGACUUAUUUCAUCACACUGUUCUAAGUUUAAUCCAUAUGAGCUAGCAGAGGAACCUAAUGGACCUAUAGAUCAUGGGCUCCAACGAUUCAAGAUUAACUAGCUAAACUCUUUUAAACCGAGUUAAUCAACAUUCGUUAACUAACGGGUCAUUCCACUAAAGUCCCGUAGUUGCACUCCCCUCACUAUAGAUAUAUUUGUGUCCAUUUGAUAAAACCAUAAUCAGUAAGUUAAUCCUUCACAGGUUGCUCGUAACCUUGGCUGGGUCAAAAUACCGUUUUACCCCCAAGAUUACAUCUUGCUCCUUAAGUCCCACUAAUCCACUAUUGAACAAUUGGUUUAAGGUUCAACCUAUAAACUUAAUCCCUCUCGGGCCAAUGAGAGGGUGGGGCCCCUUGUUCAAGACUUGGAUUCAGUGCUUAAGAGAGCAACCUAUCUACUAACCCUAAAGCGGGUAGGAGUGAAUUCCAUCUUGUACCCUAUGUUCCCAGCUAUCCACCCGAUCUUACCCCUGAAAUGGGAGGCUUAUUGGGCCAACGCUGAUGAGCUGCCCUCACCUAUGCAGAUCUAAGGAUAAUCUCGUAUGAACAGGAGUUCAUAGUUAACUCAGGAUUAAGACUAAGUUACCUAGGUCAUCAAUAAUUGAGAUAGUCAGUUUUAAACAGUAAACGGUGUUAUAACGUAAAAAUGACUAAUUCAUGGUUCAGUCUUAUGUAAACAUUUUACAUAGGAUGCCCCCACUUUCAUGUCUCUACAUGAACGAUUAGGAUCACAUCGUUUGUACUACAAAGUGGGCCGCAUCCAUAGUCUCUCAAAAUAAGGCGCCCAACCUUUAUUUCAUAUACUAUAGACUAUUUAGGCUAUAUACUCGAACUUGAUCCACGUUUAUGUUUACACAUAAAGUUCAAGUUUAUUCAAAAAAUAGCCUUGGAACUUUGAUUUAUUGGAUUUAAGAUUAUAAUAUUUAAUUUCUCAAUAACAACUUUAUUGAAUAGAAUAUGAUUUACAAACUACGAGUUUUAGGACAAAAAAUUCCAACACUGCGGCCAAUAAUCAAUGACCUGUUUGAUCGCCUUCAAGGAGCAAAGUAUUUCUCGAAGCUAGAUCUGCGAUCGGGCUAUUAUCAAGUAAGAAUUGUCGAAGGGGAUGAGCCCAAAACCACCUGCGUUAUGAGGUAUGGGGGCGUUCGAGUUCCUUGUCAUGCCAUUUGGUCUUACCAAUGCGCCUGCAACGUUAUGUACGCUAAUGAACCAGGUCUUCCAUGAAUACCUUGACAAGUUUGGGGUGGUCUAUCUGGACGAUAUAGUGAUUUAUAGCUCCACGCUAGAAGAACACAAGGACCACCUCAAAAGGGUUUUUCAGAAGUUGAAGGAGAACCAACUGUAUGUCAAGAGGGAAAAGUGUUCCUUUGCUCAAGAGCGGAUCAAUUUUCUAGGUCAUGUGAUUGAGUGUGGUCGAAUCAGUAUGGAGGAAGGGAAGAUCGUUGUGAUUCGUGAUUGGGAAGUACCAAGGUCAGUCACUGACUUGCGCUCCUUCCUCGGGUUAGCCAAUUAUUACAGGCGAUUCGUGGAAGGAUUCUCUAAAAGAGCAAGCCCGUUGACUGACUUGCUGAAGAAGGACAACAAGUGGAAUUGGACACCGAAAUGUCAGGCUGCCUUCGAUGAACUGAAGCAAGCUAUGGUCAAGGGGCCAGUUCUGGGGAUCGCUUAUGAGAGUCGGAAGUAGAGACAGAUGCGUCUGAUUAUGCGUUGGGUGGUGUACUCCUGUAGAAUGGACAUCCCAUCGCUUAUGAGAGUCGAAAGCUGAAUGUCGCAGAGAGGAGGUACACCGUGUCCGAGAAAGAAAUGCUUGCCGUAGUACAUUGCUUAAGGGCCUGAAGACAGUACUUAUUGAGGUCAACUUUUGUUGUGAAGACAGACAAUAGUGCUACUUGUCACUUCUUUACGCAACCGAAGUUGACUUCAAAACAAGCUAGAUGGCGGGAAUUCCUAGCUGAGUUUGAUUUUGAGUUUGAACACAAGAAGAGGGUGAGCAAUCAGGUCGCUGAUGCGCUUAGUCGAAGAGGUGACCACGCUGCUUUGUGCAUGUUAGCACAUCUCUACGCAAGCAAGAUUGAUGGUCCUAUGCACGAUGUCUUGAGGGAGUUCUUGCAGAAGGAUUCUACGGCUAGGAGUGUCAUGAGUUUAGCUGAGCCAGGUAAAACAAGGCAGUUUUGGGUUGAAGAUGGGCUGUUAGUGAUGAAGGGGAGACGGUUGUAUGUCCUUAGGGGAGGAGACCUGAGGAAGAAGUUGCUACACGAGUGUCACGACACUCUGUGGGUCGACCACCCCGGAUGGCAGAGGACAUACGCCUUGCUGAAGAAGGGAUACUUUUGGUCCCGUAUGAGAGACGACGUCAUGCAAUACACGAAGACGUGUCUUGUCUGUCAACAGGACAAAGUCGAGAAGGCAAAGGUUGCUGGGCUUCUCGAACCUCUGCAUGUGCCAAUGAGACCGUGGGAGAGUGUUUCUAUGGACUUCAUCACCCAUCUUCCAAAAGUAGGUGACUAUGAGACUAUAUUAGUCAUCAUAGAUCGAUUCUCGAAAUAUGCCACUUUCGUUCCCACUAUGAAGCAGUGUUCGGCGGAGUUAACAACUCAAUUAUUCUUUAGACAUAUUGUGAAGUUGUGGGGUGUACCGACAAGCAUUGUGAGUGAUCAAGAUGGACGGUUCAUUGGCACCUUUUGGACAGAGUUAUUCACUUUCUUAGGGACAAGCCUGAAUGUGUCCUCAAGUUACCAUCCCCAGACGGACGGUCAGACUGAGCGGUUCAACUGUAUGCUCAAGAAUACUUGUGCCAUUUUGUUACUGCAAGGCAAAGAAAUUGGGCUUUGUUGUUGGAUGUCGCCCAGUUUUGUUUUAACGCUCAGACAAGCUCGUCAACUAGAAAGAGCCCUUUCGAAAUUGUUUGCGGAAGACAACCAGUUCUGCCACACCUUGUUUAUCACCCCUAUGCGGGGAAGAACCCUCAAGCUCACAAUUUUACCAGGGAAUGGAAGCAGACGAUAGACAUCGCUCGAGCCUCUUUAGAGAAAGCCUCGAAGCGAAUGAAGAAGUGGGUAGACAAGAAGCGCCGCCCCCUGGAGUUUCGGGUUGGAGAUCAGGUUCUCAUUAAGUUACGACCAGGACAGAUUCGGUUUCGAGGACGCAAAGACCAACGCCUCGUAAGAAAGUACGAGGGACCAGUGGAAGUGCUGAAGAAGGUAGGGAACACAUCUUAUAAAGUAGCGUUGCCCACAUGGAUGAAAAUCCACCUAGUAAUUCAUGUGAGUAAUUUGAAGCCCUACUACCAAGAUCCUGAUGACAUGCGACGUAAUGUCAUAGUCCGACCGACCAUUGACCUCAGCCAGAAGGAGAGUAAAGAAGUUGAAGAAAUCCUGGCCUAACGAGUGAGGAAGGGUCGAAGACCCACAAGAAGGAUCCACGAGUACUUGGUAAAGUGGAAGAACCUUCAUGUGGAAGAAACCAGUUGGGAACGUGUCGAAGACCUAGAAGCCGAGGCGCAGAAGAUCGAGGAGUUCAAGCUUCACUAGUCGACAGGGACGUCAACUGUUUAGGUGGGGGAGAAUGUAACGAACAUACUUGUCCAAGGUGUGUUUACCUAUGGCCGUAUGCUCCGAUUAGCCCCAAUUUAUCUCGUCUUUAUGUCUUGUACGUAGUUUAGUUCAAUUUCAAGUCAAUAUGCAUGGGUGUGACAUUUCGACAUUUUCAUAUGCAAGCCUGCCAGAGAUGAAAAUGUUAAAAAUGUAAUAUAGGGGAGGCAUACCUGUUGAAUCCCCGCCCAAGCCUUGUCGUACUCUUUGCAAUCUAUGCUUUCUUAUUGCAAUUGACAAUCUUCAAUGCUUGUUUUAACAACGUUUUCAAUCAAUUUAAUCAUCUUUUACGUUUUCUAAAAAUAUUUUUUCAAGAACGUGAGGGUUGAAGCGUGUGUUAAAGUUGUCCGCGAUUUGCGGAUUUUGAUCGGCUGACUUGUUCGUCGAGCUAGAAUAAGUGCUGCACAAUCGUUCACAUCGUGUUUGAAGGGUUACGAUUGUGACACACGGUGCACGCCCAAUGCGCGCGCGCGCCAGAUGUCACAAUCGUAGCGUUUCAACCUCGAGACGGACGAUUGUGUGACACUUGUUCUAACUCGAUGGACAAGUCAGCCGAUCAAAAUCCAAGAGUUGUGGGUAACGUCGAUGUAUGUCGUAACCUUCGUUUGCGUUUUAGGAAAAUUUUAUUUAUAAAACGCGGGAGAGAAAGAAAUAUAUUGAAAUAGACGUUACAAUAAGCAUUAAAGACUGUCAAUUGCAAGGAAAAAGGGUUGCUUGCAAAUAGUAUAACUAAUGCUUGGGUGGGGAUUCAACUGGUAUGCCUCUCCUAUAGUACAUUUUGAAUAUUUUCCUCUCUGGCAGACUUGCAUAUGAAAAUGCCGAAACGUCACACCCAAGCUUUAUGACCUAGAAUGAAAAGCAAACACCUAAACUAGUUACGGAAACUAAAGAUGAGAUAAACUUGGGGUAAUAGGAGCAUAUAACCAAAGGUAAACACACUUUGGAAAAAUAUGUCCGUGACACACUCCCCUACUUAAACAGUUGACGUCCCUGCCGACUGGCAAAGCUGGAAUCCUUCAAUCUUCUGCCUCCACGCUUUACGGUCUUGGUACGUCUUCCAUAGGCUUCUUCCAUGAGGAGGCUCUUCUGCUUCACCACAAACUUGUGUAUCCUUCUCAUGGGUCUUCUUCUUCAACUUCCGUUGAUUCCUCGUGUGCUCUCACGAGGUGGAAAUCUUCGUGUCUUUAGAAACCGCAUCUGUUCGGGUCGCGGCGUCACGAUAUCCUAACCUUCCACAUGAAGGUCCAAGGGGCGAUGCUUCCCAUCUGCCCACCAUUUCAGGCGCUUCGAGACUUCCUCUAAACUGGAUCGAACAGUGUCUGAUCUACGCUUCCACUUCUUCGCAAGGUUAUGGGUCUGAGGUUCCUUCUUCAUACAGGAAAAAUCAAUAGGACACAACAAUACAUAUUGUCCAUCACCAAUACUCAUUGUUGGACUUCCGUAAGUUGAUGAUUUCUUCAUAGCUGUAAGACCCAGUUGUGUUGCCUCCAACGAACGACCCCCAUUCUUUUGCACUAACUUGCCGGCCUUCGUCCAACUCAUGCCAUUGUGAGCGACAGAGUUUUCCUUCAUGGAUUCUGUUGACGCGUCUCGCAUUGGGCCAUCAGCUUGACAGGCUUGUGUACGAGCCGGCACAUGUGGAACCCCACGAUUACUCUUCUUGUGUUCUGACUCGAAAUCAAGUUUGAGCAUGACUCUUCGUCUCCUUGCUUGAUUCGAACUCAGAUUCAGCUGAGUACCGAAAUGGCAGGCAACGUCGUUGUUCAUCUCUCUGACAAACGUUGAUCUAUGGGAACCCUGUCUCCCAUCCCUCAGACCGUGUGCUAUGGCCAACGUUUCUUCUUCAAACACUGUAUGAUUGCCCUCGGUGGCACUCUUCUUCUGACUCUCAGAUGCGAUAAGGUGUCUAUUUUGCAGUAGGACACCACUCAAUGCAUGACUACACGCCUCAGUGUAAGCUUCAAUAGGUUGGGUCAGGCUCGCGGACCCAAGAGUUGGCCCUCGCCUCGGGGCUUGCUUCAGGACACGGUUGUCGACACCCAACCGUCCAUUCUCUUCCUUCCGUAAGAAAUCUUGUUCUUGAUACGGGUCUUUUGCAGGUCUAGUGAAUCCUGCACCUGACAGUCUCCUUUACUGUCUCCGGAGUCCAGGUGACUUUGACUGCGCCAUAUGAUGACUAUUCUUCAUAGGCGACCCUGACGUGGGCAAACUAUCACAUUUCCCAUCCCCAUAUUUCUCCACGACACACCUUGUGUCUUCUCGAAUACGGCCCUCUCUCAGUUGCAUGGCUGAGAUCGUUCUCAGUCCUUUGGGUUGCCUAAGGUUCGUCUACACAACGGUGGGUUUAGAGCUCGUGAUCACCAGACACUUGGCUGCAGGCAUUAUGAUCACUUGAUGUUCGAGAAAGAAUUCCAUUCCGAGAACUACAUCAAAGUCAUCCAUGCCUAUAACCACGAAAUCAACGAAGCCGCUCUAUCCUCCCAACUGUAUCACUGCCAGUUUCACCAUCCCAACGACAGGUAGAGCUGUAGAAUUCACGACCUUCAUUUUUCCCGUAUCCUUCUUUAAUGAAGGUUUAGUCAUCUGGCUUCGGCCACCGUUAUAAAAUUAUGAGUGGCACUGGAGUCAACUAUAAUGCUCUUUGCAUGUUUUCGGUUGAUCCAUGUGUCAACAUAUAUUAGGCCCCCUUUAAUACGACCACCUGUCUCCCUCGCUCUCUUUUGAAGGGACGACAAGAGUCUUAUGGCUCCCACUCUAAUAUUCUGAACUCUUUCUUCUUGCCCAACUUCCUCAUCUGGUUGACCCGAUGUGUCAUCUGAGUCUGCAGCUAACGAGGCCUGAAAGGCAUAGAAGGCAGCUUUAUCUGGACAUUCCCUUGCCUGAUGUGGUCCAUUACAUAUGUAGCAACUGAUAGGACGAUUCGACGUGUUUGGAUUAUCACGUCUUCUUCAGGUGUCCCCCGUAUUGGAUUGAGAAGGCUUGCGAUCUCUACUGGGACUUCCAUUUUCUCCAGUAGUCUUGGGGGAAUUCAGUCGGCCGUUCCUGUCUCUUCUAGGUGAAGAGCUUUGACGACGUCUCGUCUCUUGAGUGUCAUCAGAUAGAUCGAACAAACGCUCCGCUAUUGCAUAGGCUGAUGCGAGGUCCUGAACUUUCUGUUCGUAUAACUUAGUCCUUACCCACGGCUUCAACCCUUCAACAAAGCUGAAGAUUUUAUCCUUUUCGGUCAUGUCGGAUACAUCUAACAUCGGCCCCGCAAAUUCCUUCACAUACUCCCGAAUGGUUCCAGUGUGUUUUAAUUCUCGCAGCUUCCGUCGAGCCAGAAUGUCGACAUUUUCGGGGAAAAACGGCAAGCGAAGUUCUCUCUUUAAACUGUCCCACGUAUCUGUUGUGCAACGCCCCUUCUGAAUGUCCACAUACCGGGAUCUCCACCACAACUUGGCAUCUUCAGAUAGAUGCAUGGUCGCUAGUGUCACUUUGGCUUCUUCCAUAUUAGUACUCGUGGCUUUGAAGUACUGCUCAAUGUCGAAGAUAAAGUUUUCCAGUGCCUUUGCAUCUCUUGCCCUACAGAAAGGCUUGGGUUCUGGAAUCUUUAUCUUGCCAACUGUAAUUGCUCCUCCAGCUGGAGCUUGAUUGGCCAACGCUCGCAUCGUAAGGUUCACCUUCGUGUUUACCUCUACGAUUUCGUUUCUAACGACAUCCAGGAUGGCUCGAAAGUCCUCUGACAUGCCAUUUAUCAUUUCCAUUAUGUCUUUAUGUGAGUUAUCUAGCUUCAUAACUCGCUCCUCCAUCCGGGCAACAGAGCCCGACGAACUGUCCCCACGCUCGUAGGUAACAUUUCCAGUUCUCCUGAUUUGUGACUCUAACGUGUCAACUCUAGCCAACAAAUCAUGUAUGGGUAAUCCGUCUAAACGAGCGGACACCGCAUCAACAGCAUCGGCUCUCUUGGCAACUUCCACAAGCCGUUCCUCAAUAAAUCAGAUGGAAUUAGGAACUUCCAUCAGGUGGAGCAUCUGCUCUUCGAUCCCCACCAAUCGUUCCUCAUUGGUCUUACCCGCUCGUUUUGCAGUCGACAUUUUUCUGUCCAAACUGUCACUCAGCCAACUUUGGCUUUGAUACCACUUGUCACAAUCGUAGCGUUUCAACCUCGAGACGGACGAUUGUGCGGCACUUGUUCUAACUCGAUGAACAAGUCAGCUGAUCAAAAUCCAAGAGUUAUGGGUAACGUCGAUGUAUGUCGUAACCUUCGUUUGCGUUUUAGGGAAAAUUUAUUUAUAAAACGCGGGAAAGAAAGAAAUACAUUGAAAUAGACGUUACAAUAAGCAUUAAAGACUGUCAAUUGCAAGGAAAAGGGUUGCUUGCAAAGAGUACAACUAAUGCUUGGGCGGGGAUUCAACUGGUAUGCCUCCCCUAUAGUACAUUUUGAACAUUUUCCUCUUUGGCAGGCUUGCAUAUGAAAAUGCCGAAACGUCACACCCAAGCUUUAUGACCUAGAAUGAAAAGCAAACACCUAAACUAGUUAUGGAAACUAAAGAUGAGAUAAACUGGGGGUAAUCAGAGCAUAUAACCAAAGGUAAACACACUUUGGAAAAAUAUGUCCGUGACAUCAGACAACCCCAGAUGCUUCCAGAAGGCCCUAGACACGCCCAUGUGCGUGUUGCCCCGCAAAUGCUCGGCCUAGACAGCCCUAGAAGCUUCUAAAACACCCGAGACAGUGCCAGAAUGUGCCAGAAUGCUCUGGACACACUCGAGAAGGCCCUGGAACAUGCUGGAACGUGUUGGACAAGGCUAGAACUUGCUAGAAGGCUACAAUGACGGUCAGAAAGUGUCAUGAAAGGUCUAGUCCUGUCUAGAAUGUUCUAGGCUUCCUUGUUAUGUACCAAAUGAGCUUGUAAUCUCUAGAAACUCCCUUGGCCGACCUUCUAAGGCCCAAGGUCGGUGGGGAUGGUCUAUAAAUACUUGGGGAGGGCCUCAUUUGGAUCAAGCCUUGCAACCUUGCAUCUUGGCAUGUCUUAGCCAAGCAAGGUCACCUUGCCACACUAAGUCUCCUUGCCCAUGGCACCCUCAUGGCAAGAGACAACAUAUUUGUACCCAAAUAUGUAUUCAUCUAUUCUUGGAAUGUAAUGUAUCAUUCCCAAGACGUAUCCAUCCAAACUCCCUUAUCAUUUCAACCUCUCUCGUGUCUUGCAACCAACCUAAGUACUUUCGCUGCAACACGUUGACGUAGUGCUUGGUGCACUACCCCUUCCGGGAAAGGCUUACUUGGCUACGUGGGCAUUGUAGUUAGCCAAGUGCCGCACGUAUGGUUAGCUUCAGACUCUAACCACGUGACAUUUGGUAUCAGAGCGGUUCGAUUCUGCGGCACCAACGGAUUUGGUAUUAGAGCAGUUCGAUUCUGCGGCACCAACGGAGUUGGUAUUGAAGUCGUUCGACUGUGCAGCUUCAAUGGGAACUUUCGACAAGAGUGUGAUGCUCCCGAAAGGAGGAGGGCAUCCAGAGCCCGAAGUCUGGAAUUGGGUAUCAAGAGCCCUAAGUCUUGAAUCUCCUUAGGAUGUAUCAGAGCAAUGGUGUGAGGACCUAGGUACACCUAAGUGACGUGAUAAGGUUGUCAAGACGAGAAGAGACGAUCGAAGUUGGAUUGCGAAAUGCAAGGUUAACCGUGGAUGGCGAGCUCCACGCAAAAAUGGUGCCAACGACAAAGACUCCUCGAUGAUGAUGGCGCAACAACCAAGGCUCAGAAUGCGCACCGCCUUGCGCAUAAUCUUGGACCGGCAUGCGCGUCGUCUUACGCAUACUAACGGGAAGCACUCCGGAACGUGCUAACUCUUCAGCGUCACAACGAGGGCGUUGCGAAGAUUGAGUGGGGGAGGGUGUCACGUGUUAAAUUUUGAUCCCAAAAAUCACCCCCAAAAUUGCGCCAAUACGUGCCACGACUCCUUCAGCAAGGCCCAGGAGUAGCCCAACGUGGUCCCAAGAUAGCCCAAGGGUGACCACGACAUAUGCCCAUGACAUUGGCAGGUACCUCUCGAGGACGACUCACAAGCCUCGCACGCGUGCCACGACAAGUGCCCACGACAGCCCGAGUGUCAGCCCACAACACAGCCCCAUGGCACGCCCAGAUGCCCGUUGACACGGCCAUAGGCGCCCGGCACCAGCGCCCACCAUUGGGCCCAUGCGCAUGUGCACAUGCGCAUGGCCAGGCAGCAAGCCAAGCAACCGUGCGCGCAGCCCCGCGCGCGCCCCAGUCGGCCGCCCAUGCUCACCCAUGCAUGACGCGCACGGCCCCCGCGUGCACGCGCCCAUGCUGACGCUGCACGCAGCAUUGUGUGCGCAGCCAACGGCCGCGACAGGCGCGGGCGGCCCCAGCACGUGCGCCCGUGGCCGCCCAACGUCUAGACGACCCCAGAACCUCCGAGAAGCUUUUAGAAGAAUCAGGAAGGCACGCACGGUGUCACAAUCGUAGCGUUUCAACCUCGAGAUGAAUGAUUGUGAGACAUUUGUUCUAACUCGAUGAACAAGUCUGUCGAUCAAAAUCCAAGAGUUGUGGGUAAUGUCGACGUAUGUCGUAACCUUCUUUUGCGUUUUAGGGAAAUUUUAUUUAUAAAAUUCGGGAAAGAAAGAAAUACAUUGAAAUAGACGUUACAAUAAGCAUUAAAGACUGUCAAUUGCAAGGAAAAAGGGUUGCUUGCAAAGAGUACAACUAAUGCUUGGGCAGGGAUUCAACUGGUAUGCCUCCCCUAUAGUACAUUUUGAACAUUUUCCUCUCUGGCAGACUUGCAUAUGAAAAUGUCGAAACGUCACACCCUAGCUUUAUCACCUAGAAUGAAAAGCAAACACCUAAACUAGUUAUGGAAAUUAAAGAUGAGAUAAACUGGGGGUAAUCGGAGCAUAUAACCAAAGGUAAACACACUUUGGAAUAAUUUGUCCGUGACACACUCCCCCACUUAAACAGUUGACGUCCCCGUCGACUGGCAAAGCUGGAAUCCUUCGAUCUUCUGCCUCCACGCUUCACAGUCUUUGGUACGUCUUCCACAGGCUUCUUCCAUGAGGAGGCUCUUCUGCUUCACCACGAACUUGCGUAUCUUCCCCAUGGGUCUUCUAAUUGUCCUCACUUCCUUAGCGAGGACUUCUUCAACUUCUGCUUGUCCCUCGUGUCUUCUCACGAGGUGGAGAUCUUUGCAUCUUUAGAAACUGCAUCUGUUCAGGUCGCAGCGUCACGAUAUCCUGACCUUCCACAUGAAGGUCCACGAGGCGAUGCUUCCCAUCUGCCCAUCUUUUCGGCCGCUUCGAGACUCUCUCUAGAUUGGCUCGAACAGUGUUUGAUCUUCGCUUCCACUUCUCUGCAAUGUUACGAGUCUGAGGCUCCUUCAUGCAGGGAAAAUCAACAGGACGUGACAUUGCAUGUUGUCCGUCACUAACACUCAUUGUUGGACUUUCGUCAGUUGAUGAUUUCUUCAUAGCUGUAACACCAAGUAGGGUUGCCUCCAAAGAACGACCCCCGUUCUUUUGCACUAACUUACCGACCUUCGUCGAACUCAUGAUAGAGUUUCCCUUCAUGGAUUCUAUUGACGCGUCUCGCAUUGGGCCAUCAGCUUGACAGGCCGGUGCACGAGCCGACACAUGUGGAACCCCACGAUUGCUUUUCUUGCGUUCUGACCCAAAAUCAAGUUUGAGCACGACUCUUCGUCUCCUUGCUAGAUUCAAAGUCAGAUUCGACCGAGUAUCAAAAUGGCGGGCAACGUCGUUGUUCAUCUCUCUGCAAACGUUGAUCUAUGGGAACCCAAUCUCCCAUCCCUCAGACUGUGUGCUAUGGCCAACGUUUCUUCGUCAAACACUGUAUGAUUGCCCUCCGUGGCACUCUUCUUCUGACUCUCAGAUGCGAUAGGGUGUCUAUUCUGCAGUAGUACACCACUCAACACAUGACUACACGCCUCAGCGUAAGUUUCAACAGGUCGGGUCACGCUUACGGACCCAAGAGUUGGCCCUCUCCUCGGGGCUUGCUUCAGGACACGGUUGUCGACACCCAACCGUCAUUUCUCUUCUUCACAUAAAAAGUCUUGUGCUUCAUACGGAGCUUUUACAGGUCUAGUGAAUCCUGCACCAGACAAUCUCCUUGACUGUCUCCGGAGUCCAGACGACUCUGGCUGCGCCAUACGACAAUCACUCUUCGUAGGCGAUUCUGACAUGGGCAAAUUGUCAUGUUUCCCAUCACCACAUCUCUCCACGACACACCUUGUGUCUUUCUGAAUACGGUCCCCUCUUAGUUGCAUGCUGAGAUUACUCUCAAUCCUUUAGGUUGCCGAAGGACCGUCUGCACAAGGGUGGGUUUAGAGCUCGUGAUCACCAGACACUUAGCUGCAGGCAUUAUGACUACUUGAUGUUCGAGGAGGAAUUCCAUUUCGAGUACGACAUCAAAGUCAUCCAUGCCUACAACCACGAAGUCAACGAAACCGCUCCAUCCUCUCAACUGUAUCACCGCUCGUUUUACUACUCAAACGACGGGUAAAGUUGUAGAAUUCACGGCCUUCAUUUUUCCCGUAUCCUUCUUCCAAUGAAGGUUUAGUCGUCUGGCUUCUGCCAUCGUUAUGAAAUUAUGGAUUGUACCAGAGUCAACCAUAGUGCUUCUUGCAUGGUUCCGGUUGAUCCAGGUGUCAACAUAUAUUAGGCCCCCUUUGGUACGGCCACUUGUCUCCCCCGCUUUCUUCUGAAAGGACUACAAGAGUCUUAUGGCACCCACUCUAACAUUUUGAACUCUUUCUUCUUGCCCAACUUCCUCCUCUGGUUGACCCGACGUGUCAUCUGAGUCUGUAGCUAACGAGGCCUGAAAGACAUAGAAGGUAGCUUUAUCCAGACAUUCCCUUGCCCGAUGUGGUUCGUUACAAAUGUAGCAACUGAUAGAAGUGUGGGAUGUCCUCUGAUUAUUGGGCCUCUGCCCAUUGUUCCCCGUAUUUGACUGGAAAGGCUUGCGGUCUCUACCGGGACUUCUAUUUCAACUGACAACUUCGGGAGAAUUCGGUCGACUGUUUCUAUCUCUUCCAGGUGAAGAGCUUUGUUGACGCGUCUCGUCUCUUGAAUGUCACUAGACAGAUCAAACAAGCGUUUAGCUGUCGCAUAGGCUGAUACGAGGUCUUUGACCUUCUGCUCCUAUAGCUUAGUCCUUGCCCACGGCUUCAGUCCUUCAACAAAACUAAAGAUCUUGUCCUUUUCAGUCAUGUCAGAUAUGUCCAACAUCAGCCCCGCAAACUGCUUCACAUACUCUCGAAUGGUUCCAGUAUGCUUUAACUCCCGUAGUUUCCGUCGAGCUAGAAUCUCGACAUUCUCUGGAAAAAACUGUGAACGGAGUUCUCUCUUCAAAUUGUCCCACGUGUCUAUUACGCAACGCCUUUCCUGAAUGUCAAUAUAUCGGGUCCUCCACCACAACUUUGCAUCCUCAGAUAGAUGCAUGGUCGCCAACGUCACUUUGGCUUCCUCCGUUACGGUGUUUGUGGCUUUAAAGUACUGCUCAAUAUCAAAGAUAAAGUUUUCCAAUGCCUUCGCAUCCCUUGCCCCACAGAAGGGCAUGGGUUCCAGAAACUUUAUCUUGCCAACUGUAAUCGCUCCUCCAGUCGGAGCUUGAUUGACCAACGUUCGCAUAGUAAGGUUCACCUUCGUGUUCACCUCUACGAUUUCGUUUCUAACGACAUCCAAGGUGGCUCGAAAGUCCUCGGACAUGCCAUUUAUCAUUUCCAUUAUAUCCUUCUGAGAGUUAUCUAGCUCCAUAACUCGCUCCUCCAUCCGGGCAACACAACCCGAUGAACUGUCCCCACGCUCGUAGGGAACAUUUUCAAUUCUUUGGAUUUGUGACUCUAGCGUGUCAACUCUAGCCAACAAAUCUUGUAUGGGUAAUCUGUCUAGGCGACCGGACACCACGUCAACAUCAUCAGUUCUCUCGGAAACUUCCUCAAGACGUUCUUCCAUCAAUCAGAUGGAAUCAGGAACUUCCAUCAGGUGGAGUAUCUGCUCUUCGAUCCCCACCAACCGUUCUUCAUGGGUCUUGCUCGCUCGUUUUGCAGUCGAUAUUUUAUUUUUGUCCCAAACUGUCACUCAGCCAACUUUGGCUCUGAUACCACUUGUCACAAUCGUAGCGUUUCAACCUCGAGAAGGACGAUUGUGCGGCACUUGUUCUAACUCGGUGAACAAGUCAGCCGAUCAAAACCCAAGAGUUGUGGGUAACGUCGACGUAUGUCGUAACCUUCCUUUGCGUUUUAGGGAAAUUUUAUUUAUAGAACGCGAGAAAGAAAUAAAUACAUUGAAAUAGAAGUUACAAUAAGCAUUAAAGACUAUCAAUUGCAAGGAAAAAGAGUUGCUUGCAAAGAGUACAACUAAUGCUUGGGCGGGGAUUCAACUGGUAUGCCUCCCCUAUAGUACAUUUUGAACAUUUUCCUCUCUGGCAGGCUUGCAUAUGAAAAUGCAGAAACGUCACACCCAAGCUUUAUGACCUAGAAUGAAAAGCAAACACCUAAACUAGUUAUGGAAACUAAAGAUGAGAUAAACUUGGGGUAAUUGGAGCAUAUAACCAAAGGUAAAUAUGAUGGAACUAAGUCAUGCACAGCGGAAAAAGAAUCGAAUUUCUACCCUAAUUGCCACAAUUAACAUAUAACUAUAAACUAAUCAAAUUAGGGUUUUAAGAAAUAUUACCUUUGAAGCUUUCAAAAGGUUUGAUAUCUUCUUACCAAAUUCUAACCGAGACCACCACUAGUACUCAACUGCUAUCCUCUAGACAAAGAACCGGGUUGUGGGACCCAAUUUUGGUGUAGAAAGUAAUGGAGAUAAAAUGAGAUUGGAAGCUUUCUUUUUUUCUUUUGUUGAGAUGAUGAAAAUGAUAAAAGAGGCAAAAGUUUUUUAACAUUUUGAAAACACCUCUAUUUAUAGCCUAAUUACAUGCAAAAAUGCAUGCAAUUCAUUUGCCAAAUCUCAACACCUAAUGUUCCACUAACAAUUAGUGGAACUUAGUGGGCUAGGUGUCUAUAUCUC